UCCAGUAAAGGGUAAACCUGCCGAAAGGCAGGGACACAAAGUCUCGGGUCUACUGUAGAGAUGCUGGAGCUACUACGACGGCCGGACUGCCUGG
rfam:Paenibacillus riograndensis SBR5 isolate SBR5(T) genome assembly, chromosome: I